rfam:Schistosoma mansoni strain Puerto Rico chromosome 1, complete genome
AUCGAGCUGACGAGUCCCAAAUGGGACGAGACACGCGUCCUGGAU